GGAUAGGGGAGAGCUGUUUUUCCUCCCUAGCAGCAGCCAGCUAAAGACCCAAUAAAAUGUUGAAUCUGCAAAGAGGAGGACUGACUGAUACUUCUAUUUUUUUUCAUUUCCUGCAGAGUUGCACAUCAGCACACCAGAAACAUGCUGGAUGAAAAAAAAGGGAAAAUGAUGGUGAGCAGCAGAAGUUAC
rnacentral:lncRNA from 11 species